AAGAAAGGCUUUUUACUCCGGUUCACAGAGCAGAGGAGAACGACUGGUGUUCGACCUCAGAGUCGUUCAUGUGGAUUCAGUUUGGAAAAAUCAUAGAAAAUAUAAGUUAGAAAAAGAAAGACAUUUAAAACCAGCUGAGCCUCCACUUUUCCUCUGAAUAGAAAAACAGACGUCGGACAUGAGGAGGAGAAAUGAGGCUGUUAAAGAUAAAGAGAAGCAAAUCUUCAGUUGUUUAAAGCUCCUCCAGUGUAAAGUAAGAGCAUCUGCCUGCUGCUGCUGCUGGAUAAGAGGACGAUGAUAGUGGAGUUUAAAAGCUGGAAAACCAAAACCAAAGCUCUUGGAAAGACGGUCAAACUCUGAGGAGCUGCAGAUUUGGAAACUCUGGAGAAGCUGAUGAAGGUCCGUCAUGACUCAGUGACUCUGACCAUGAAGCCUGAAGUAAAGAGGACGGUGCGGCAGCGGCAGCAGCGGCAGCGGCAGCGGCAGCGGCAGCGGCAGCGG